GGAAAAUGCGUGGCUCGUAGUAGGCGCUCAAUUAGUAUUUGUUGACUCUCAGUCCCGGGGAAGGUAAGCCUUUGAGUUGCCGAAGCAGCUUAGCAUUGACUUCCAAAGGACCUCCAAUUCAGACGGCACUCGGGGCUGGCAGGUAACAGGCAGGUGGGCAUCUGUGACCAAGCUUCAGUCGAAGAUCACAAAACGAGAAAAUAUUUUGAACUGAGCAUGCAACAACGUAUGAAAAUGUGUAGAAUGCAGGUAAAGCAGUGCUCGAGAGAAAUGCACAGCUUUCAACAUUUAGAAGAGAAAAAAUAGAGAAUUGAUCUACAGCAGGAGUCUGCAAAUGACGGCCUGUGUGCCAAACCCAGCUUCGUUUUUGUAUUUAUUUACCAAAAUAUUGUCUUACUAAAACAGAAAGCUGUUCUUUUAAAUAGAAUGAAACACAGUUUGGGGGUGGGGGGGUGUCUGGAUUCAGUCCUCAGGCCACCAACUGGCCAUCAAUCUCUGAUUUAGUCCAGUUUCCUCUUUCAGAGAACAAACAUGUUCAUUGGGUAGUGCAGAGCAGUGGUUAGGGCCCAGGCCACCUGACUUUGGGAACAAUACUUCCCCUCCGUAAAGUAAGCCUCAGUCUCCUCAUCUGUAAAAUAGGGUAACGGCACCGGCUGUUUCAGCAUCGUAUGGUUUAGAUGAGUUGACCCAUGCAAACGUCCUAGCACAUAGUAGACCACCUAGUCUCUAUGCCCAUUUGUACGUAGAAAACAUGGACGAACUAAAAUGUUUAAAUAACCAUGUAUUUAUUUGAAUGUGUUCUAAAAAACAAAGUGUAGCUAGCUCACCCCAACAUGUGAGUUCACAGGUGUUAAUACUGCAAAUGCUCCAAGUUUAAAAAUAAAGACGAGUUCAUAUUUUAUACACUUUUUUUCCCACUGUGAUAAGAUUCACCAUUGUAAAGUGUACAGUCAGUGGCUUUUAGUACAGUUGCAAUGUCUAUUGUGUAACCAUCACCGCUAUCUAAUUCCAGGAGGGGAAAAAAAGUUAGUUUUAAAGCCUGCUUAAAAAAAUUAUCAAGUGACUCAAGGAAUAGAGAUUAUUACGAGGGCAGAUGGCCGGCAAAGAUCAUGAGGAUGGUAGCCAGGUAAGCACAGUUUGGGAAUUGGUGGGAGGAUGCCACAGAGCGACACAACCCCGUGUGCUAAAAGGGGACUCAGACCCAGCAAAAGGUAGGGUCUGGCACACCACAGCCCCUCCCGCCUCCAGCCUGACGGCCUCCAGCGCCUGGGUGCCAUCAGAGAAGGGCGACGGGGUUUACAGGAUGGGGAUGAGCACAGAGCCGGGUGAGGGGUCAGAGGGACCCCAGGUGAGCCUUGGGGAAGAGAGAAGAUUGGGCCAGGCCCCCCUGAGGGGGUUCAAGCAGCUCCUUUUCUUGGGAAGAAAAGUUGUGUGUGUUUUUUUUAAUUUCCCUUGGAAAUUGGAAACCCGGGGCGCCUCCCAGGGCUAUAAAAAGGCUGUGUCCACUGACCAGGUUAAAAAUAAAAGAUCCCCACCCAGGGGCACUCUGUAUGGGCGGAGGUGCUAUGUAGGCUGGGCAGCAGCGGUAGAAUUUGUUUUGUGACCUACGACAUGCGUCUGCCUUCUCAGUUAAUGGGGAGAUUUAUGUGGCCGCUAUUAUUUAUGGAGGCUAGCUGUGAGCCCCAGGAGGGCAGGAACAGAGUCUGCUUUAGUCAACACUGUGUCCCCCAAAUCUGAAACCAUCCCUUGCACACAGUCUUGGCUCCAACACCACCUGCUCAGAGAGGCCCUCCUUGGCACCUAGGCCAAAGUUCUCCCUGCUGAGACACUCCCA